AUUGAACGCUGGCGGCAGGCCUAACACAUGCAAGUCGAACGAGUGGCGGACGGGUGAGUAAUGUCUGGGCAACUGGCUGUUGGAGGGGGAUCACUACUGGAAACGGUAUCUAAUACCGCAUACUAUCUGUUUUGCCCAUAUGGGAUUAGCGAGUUGGUGGGGUAAAGGCUCACCUAGGCGACGAUCCCUCGCUGGUCUGAGAGGAUGACCAGCCACACUGGAACUGAGACACGGUCAAGACUCCGACGGGAGGCAGAAGUGGGGAAUAUUGGAAAAGGGGCGAAAGCCGUAUGCAGCCAUGCGGCGUGGAUGAGGAAGGCCUUCGGGUUGUAAAUUACUUUCAGCGGGGAGGCGGUACCGGAAGAAGAAGCACCGGCUAACUACGUGCCAGCAGCCGCGGUAAUAC
rnacentral:rRNA from 1 species